rnacentral:lncRNA from 1 species
CCCGACCCUAGUUAUGUCAUGUAUAUCCUAGAGGCUUUGUAGACAUAAGGAAGGGUAAAGUCAUGGAAGUUUAUAUAGUGAUGUUAUAUUUGUAUAUGUGGUGGCCCCGACGGCAAAGUAUUAUAUAUAUUUAUAUUUGUGCGUGUUGUGCUGAUACAGGUAAUUAGACCCUUCUAUAUGCAACAAAGUGUUGUCCAAAGUUUUGGUGACAUGUAAGUGAAAGUACAGGUAUUUGAACGGGUUCUCC